rnacentral:sRNA from 1 species
AAAGACCUCCCAGCAGAAGAGGAGAGGAGGUUGUGUAGGACAAGCUGCUCCCGACAGAAGGAUGUCGCUGCUGAGCCUGCCCUGGCUGGGCCUCAGACCGGUGGCAACGUCCCCAUGGCUACUCCUGCUGCUGGUUGUGGGCUCCUGGCUACUCGCCCGUGUCCUGGCUUGGACCUAUGCCUUCUAUAACAACUGCCGUCGGCUCCAGUGUUUCCCACAGCCCCCAAAACGGAACUGGUUUUGGGGUCACCUGGGCCUGAUCACUCCUACAGAGGAGGGCUUGAAGAACUCGACCCAGAUGUCGGCCACCUAUUCCCAGGGCUUUACGAUAUGGCUGGGUCCCAUCAUCCCCUUCAUCGUUUUAUGCCACCCUGACACCAUCCGGUCUAUCACCAAUGCCUCAGCUGCCAUUGCGCCCAAGGAUGAUCUCUCCAUCAGGUUCCUGAAGCCCUGGCUGGGAGAAGGGAUACUGCUGAGUGGCGGUGACAAGUGGAGCCGCCACCGUCGGAUGCUGACGCCCGCCUUCCAUUUCAACAUCCUGAAGUCCUAUAUAACGAUCUUCAACAAGAGUGCAAACAUCAUGCUUGUGAGUCCCUUGAACUCGGUCCCAGCUGGAGUCUUGGGGUGGAGGGACCAUGGACACAUCUGGUCUGGAAUUUUGGCUCUUCUGGGUGGCACUGGGCCAUUGCUCUUCCUCUCUGAGCCUUGGUUUUCUCAUCUGCAAAAUGGGGAUGAUAAUCCCUACUUAAAAGAGCAUUUACUUGGCACACAGUAGGUUCUCAGAAGGUGUUAGUUUCUGUGUUUUUCUCACAGAAUCCCUGUAAACUCAAGAGAGUAAAAAUGAAGAUUGCGUAGUAGUCAUUGCUGAUUACAAACCACUUCAGAACUCACUGGCUUAGAGCAAUAAGGGUUUACGAUUGCUAACGAGUCUGUGAGACAGCUGGCCAGUUCUUCUGGAUGUGGAAGGGAUCACUCUUGGCACAUGAGCAGCUGUGGGUCAGGCGGGCAGC